GACGAACGCUGGCGGCGUGCCUAAUACAUGCAAGUCGAACGCAGUGGGGACGGGUGAGUAACACGUGGGUAACCUCCCAUCAGAGGGGAUAACACUUGGAAACAGGUGCUAAACCGAUACUGAUGGAUGGACCCGCGGUGCAUUAGCUAGUUGGUGAGGUAACGGCUCACCAAGGCCACGAUGCAUAGCGUCCCUGAGGAGGUGAAGUGCCACACUGGGAGUGAGACGCGGCCCAGGCUCCUGCGGGAGGCAGCAGUGGGGAAUCUUCGGCAAGGGACGAGAGUCUGACCGAGCAACGCCGCGUGAGUGAAAAGGGUUUUCGGAUCGUAAAACUCUGUGUUUAGAGAAGCGGUAUCUAACCAGAAAGCCGCGGCUAACUACGUGCCAGCCGCCGCGGUUUC
rnacentral:rRNA from 1 species